rnacentral:rRNA from 1 species
CACGUAGGGCGCAAGCGUUGUCCGGAAUUAUUGGGCGUAAAGAGCUCGUAGGCGGUCUGUUGCGUCUGCUGUGAAAACUCGGGGCUUAACCCCGAGCCUGCAGUGGAUACGGGCAGACUAGAGGUAGGUAGGGGAGAAUGGAAUUCCCGGUGUAGCGGUGAAAUGCGCAGAUAUCGGGAGGAACACCGGUGGCGAAGGCGGCGACCUGGUCCGUGACUGACGCUGAGGCGCGAAAGCGUGGGGAGCAAACAGG